rnacentral:rRNA from 1 species
GUGUCAGCCGCCGCGGUAAUACGUAAGGAGCGAGCGGGGGAACGAAGGACUGGGCGUAAAGAGCUCGUAGGUGGUUUCUUAGGUCUCACGUGAAAUUCCCUGGCUCAACUGGGGAGGGUCGUGGGAAACCGAGAAGCUAGAGGGCAGGAGAGGAGAGUGGAAUUCCCGGUGUAGCGGUGAAAUGCGUAGAGAUCGGGAGGAACACCAGUGGUGAAGACGGCUCUCUGGACUGUCCCUGACACUGAGGAGCGAAAGCCAGGGGAGCGAACCGGAUUAGAUACCCGGGUAGUCCUGGCCGUAAACGAUGGGUACUAGGUGUGGGGGGUUCGACCCCCUCCGUGCCGCAGUUAACGCAUUAAGUACCCCGCCUGGGGAGUACGGCCGCAAGGUUGAAACUUAAAUAAAUUGACGG